CGGCGGACGGGUGAGUAACACGUGGAUAACCUACCAAUAAGACUGGGAUAACUUCGGGAAACCGGAGCUAAUACCGGAUAAUAUAUUGAACCGCAUGGUUCAAUAGUGAAAGACGGUUUUGCUGUCACUUAUAGAUGGAUCCGCGCCGCAUUAGCUAGUUGGUAAGGUAACGGCUUACCAAGGCAACGAUGCGUAGCCGACCUGAGAGGGUGAUCGGCCACACUGGAACUGAGACACGGUCCAGACUCCUACGGGAGGCAGCAGCC
rnacentral:rRNA from 1 species